GACACAUUUAAUUGAGCCCGUCAAAUUAAGUGCCAGCCGACGCGGUUAAACUUAAGGGCUGGUCUUUAUAAGUAAAAAGGCGUAAAGGAUGUGUAGGCCAAGAAACGACCCAAGAAGGUAAAUGGAAUUUUUCUGGAGCGGUAGAAUGUGAGGAUAGAAAAUAGAACCCCUAAGGUUAAAACUAUUUACCACAAGGUAGGCUGAAACAUGAGUGUGUGGGGAGCAAACAGGAUUAGAGACCCUGGUAGUCCACACUGUGAACUUUGAAGAUGAUGCUUAGCAGACCCGAAAGGUAAAAUCUUCCGCCUGAGUAGUACGAUCGCAAGAUUAAAAUUCAAAAACUUUGGCUGUUCACUAUUUCGAUUAGAGGAGCGUGUAGUUUAAUUCGAUGGUCCGCGUGUUACCUUACCCCAACUUGAAUCUGUGACCGGUAUUGCAUGGCCGUCGUAAGUUCGUGUAUUAAGCUAGAAGGGACCCAACCCGGGCAUUUGCCCGGAGGAAGUCAGGUCUUAUGAUCCGAAUGUUGGGGGAUUUUAUGCGCUACAUUUUCUUAUAUAAUGGGAGACCUGGAAGGUGAGCCUCUAAAGUAAGAGUUCGGAAGGUCGCUGUAAGACGACUGGAAGUUGGAUUUAAUAGUAAUCGGAAAGUAGGGCGUUCCGGUGA
rnacentral:rRNA from 1 species